UACGUAGGGGGCAAGCGUUGUCCGGAUUUAUUGGGCGUAAAGAGCGUGUAGGCGGCCAUACAGGUCCGUUGUGAAAACUGGAGGCUUAACCUCCAGACGUCGAUGGAAACCGUAUGGCUAGAGUCCGGAAGAGGAGAGUGGAAUUCCUGGUGUAGCGGUGGAAUGCGUAGAGAUCCGGAAGAACACCGGUGGCGAAGGCGGCCUGCUGGGCAGUAGCUGACACUGAGGCGCGACAGCGUGGGGAGCAAACAGG
rnacentral:rRNA from 1 species